GAUGAAGAACGUAGCGAAAUGCGACAAGUAAUGUGAAUUGCAGAAUUCAGUGAAUCAUCGAGUCUUUGAACGCACAUUGCGCCCCCUGGUAUUCCGGGGGGCAUGCCUGUCCGAGCGUCAUUGCUGCCCUCAAGCACGGCUUGUGUGUUGGGCUCCGUCCCCCCGGGGACGGGCCCGAAAGGCAGCGGCGGCACCGAGUCCGGUCCUCGAGCGUAUGGGGCUUUGUCACCCGCUCUGUAGGCCCGGCCGGCGCCAGCCGACAACCCAUCAUCCUUUUCAGGUUGACCUCGGAUCAGGUAGGGAUACCCGCUGAACUUAAGCAUAUCAAUAGCGGAGGA
rnacentral:misc_RNA from 1 species